CCUACGGUGAGCUGCAGUGGGGAAUAUUGCACAAUGGGGGAAACCCUGAUGCAGCGACGCCGCGAGAGUGAAGAAGUAUUUCGGUAUGUAAAGCUCUAUCAGCAGGGAAGAAAAUGACGGUAACUGAUUAAGAAGCCCCGGCUAACUACGUGCCAGCAGCCGCGGUAAUACGUAGGGGGCAAGCGUUAUCCGGAUUUACUGGGUGUAACGGGAGCGUAGACGGACGCACAAGUCUGGAUUGAAAUUACGGGGCUUAACCCCGGAACUGCUUUGUCAACUGUGCAGCUAGAGUGCAGGAGAGGUAAGUGGAAUUCCUAUUGUAGCGGUGAAAUGCGUAGAUAUUAGGAGGAACACCAGUGGCGAAGGCGGCUUACUGGACUGUAACUGACGUUGAGGCUCGAAAGCGUGGGGAGCAAACAGGAUUAGAUACCCGAGUAGUC
rnacentral:rRNA from 1 species